rnacentral:rRNA from 1 species
UACGUAGGGUGCGAGCGUUGUCCGGAAUUAUUGGGCGUAAAGGGCUCGUAGGCGGUUUGUCGCGUCGGGAGUGAAAACACUGGGCUUAACUCAGUGCCUGCUUUCGAUACGGGCAGACUAGAGGCAUGCAGGGGAGAACGGAAUUACUGGUGUAGCGGUGAAAUGCGCAGAUAUCAGGAGGAACACCGGUGGCGAAGGCGGUUCUCUGGGCAUGUCCUGACGCUGAGGAGCGAAAGUGUGGGGAGCGAACAGG